rnacentral:rRNA from 1 species
GGCUCAGGAUGAACGCUAGCGGCAGGCUUAACACAUGCAAGUCGAGGGGCAUCGGGAGUAGCAAUACUUGCCGGCGACCGGCGCAAGGGUGCGUAACGCGUGAGCAACAUGCCCGUAUCAGGGGGAUAAUCCAUGGAAACGUGGUCUAAUACCCCAUAGUAAUUAUGUAAGGCAUCUUAUAUAAUUUAAAGCUUUGGUGGAUACGGAUUGGCUCGCGUGACAUUAGCUAGAUGGUAAGGUAACGGCUUACCAUGGCUACGAUGUCUAGGGGUUCUGAGAGGAAGGUCCCCCCACACUGGAACUGAGACACGGUCCAGACUCCUACGGGAGGCAGCAGUGAGGAAUAUUGGACAAUGGAUGGAAAUCUGAUCCAGCCAUGCCGCGUGCAGGAAAGACGGCCCUAUGGGUUGUAAACUGCUUUUGUAUGGGAGCAAUAAGGGCUACGCGUAGUCCGAUGAGAGUACCAUACGAAUAAGCACCGGCUAACUCCGUGCCAGCCGCUGC